rnacentral:rRNA from 1 species
UACAGAGGGGGCAAGCGUUGUUCGGAAUUACUGGGCGUAAAGGGCGCGUAGGCGGCCUUCUAAGUCGAACGUGAAAUCCCUGGGCUCAACCCAGGAACUGCGUCCGAUACUGGAAGGCUUGAAUCCGGGAGAGGGAUGCGGAAUUCCAGGUGUAGCGGUGAAAUGCGUAGAUAUCUGGAGGAACACCGGUGGUGUAGACGGCUUUCUGGACCGUAACUGACGCUGAGACACGAAAGCGUGGGUAGCAAACAGG